rnacentral:lncRNA from 1 species
GGUGCCAAACAGAAACAGGUGAAGAUUGGCCCAAGAUUUCUCACAUCCCCCCACCUCAGGAUCGAUGAGAUUUGGGUUUCCACAGUUCAUAGGAUAUGUCGCACUUCCUACGCAUUAUAAGAUGGUGAGCAAAUUUUUUGAGGGUCUCAACUCUUGGACUUGCUGGAGAUAGGCGAAUGUUAAGAUUGCUCACAGGCCCAAUAAUGCCUUGUCUUGAUGUCUGAGUUGUAAGCACAAUUAUCAAAUUCUCUCUCAGUUGAUUUUGAUUUACUCACCUCUUAACUCUAAUAGUCAAGAUCACAAGAUGGCUGAGUUUUUGGAUUACUUCUGUUACUCUCUGGUUGUAGCCAAAACAGUAGAUUUCACUGGGGAUUUGCCAUUGUAAGAAAAGGUUCUAAAUGAAUUCAUAAGAUUUCUCAUGUUUGUUUAUUAAC